rnacentral:rRNA from 1 species
AGAGUUUGAUCCUGGCUCAGGAUGAACGCUGGCGGCGUGCCUAAUACAUGCAAGUCGAACGCUUCACUUCGGUGAAGAGUGGCGAACGGGUGAGUAAUACAUAAGUAACCUGGCAUCUACAGGGGGAUAACUGAUGGAAACGUCAGCUAAGACCGCAUAGGUGUAGAGAUCGCAUGAACUCUAUAUGAAAAGUGCUACGGGACUGGUAGAUGAUGGACUUAUGGCGCAUUAGCUGGUUGGUAGGGUAACGGCCUACCAAGGCGACGAUGCGUAGCCGACCUGAGAGGGUGACCGGCCACACUGGGACUGAGACACGGCCCAGACUCCUACGGGAGGCAGCAGUAGGGAAUCUUCGGCAAUGGACGGAAGUCUGACCGAGCAACGCCGCGUGAGUGAAGAAGGUUUUCGGAUCGUAAAGCUCUGUUGUAAGUCAAGAACGAGUGUGAGAGUGGAAAGUUCACACUGUGACGGUAUCUUACCAGAAAGGGACGGCUAACUACGUGCCAGCAGCCGCGGUAAUACGUAGGUCCCGAGCGUUGUCCGGAUUUAUUGGGCGUAAAGCGAGCGCAGGCGGUUAGAUAAGUCUGAAGUUAAAGGCUGUGGCUCAACCAUAGUUCGCUUUGGAAACUGUCAAACUUGAGUGCAGAAGGGGAGAGUGGAAUUCCAUGUGUAGCGGUGAAAUGCGUAGAUAUAUGGAGGAACACCGGUGGCGAAAGCGGCUCUCUGGUCUGUAACUGACGCUGAGGCUCGAAAGCGUGGGGAGCGAACAGGAUUAGAAACCCGGGUAGUCCUGAGUAGAAGUCCCU